GGUGGAGUGUUUGAUCCACCUUCACCAGUGAGCCCUCACUUUAUAUCGGUGAUCUUCUCUGCUAGCUUGCUGCUGCCCGGUCGACUUCGGUCCACUUUGAAAUAAUGCACUAGCUAGCUAGCUAGGUACAAUACAUUAUGCCCGGUCUUUGGUCAUCGUCGUUCACACUGUAUUAUCUCGUACCGCAUGUCUACAUAGUACCACCUUCCAGAGAUGGUGUCGGCAAGAAUCAUCAUAUGAUAAUACGGUAAUUGUACCUGGCAAACAUCGGGGUAAGAGGGUGGCAAGCGAACCAUCUAUGCCGACAGUUUUAGUAGGUGUAAAACGAGAUCAAAUGACGACAGUUUUUAAAUGAAAAUUGCCUUCUCGGAAAGAAACUGCCAUGUGUCUUCUAAAGAAAAUGUCACCUCUCCCCACUUCACCACUACUAAAAUAGCCAUCACAUCGUUCGCAUGUCCCACAUCCUUUGGCAACGUUGGGCAGUUAGGAGGGGAGAACGUAUCCUGUGCACCCGACCAAUUCGUGCACCAGGUGCUCCGAUGGAACAUGAGCCGUUGGAUUAAAAAGGAAGGGACAGGAUGCAGUGGAAGGGAAGUUACUGGUACAUUUUGCAGAAGAGACCUUCAUGUCUAGCUAAAUUGAACAAAUUCACAUCCCAAACCAAGUUCGUCGAUCCCCUUUUCCUCUGUCCUGUACCACUGCUGGAGGUCGCCGCCGCUAGGGUUAACUGAAAAAACUGGGCGGAUCCCUCUCUCCCUCUCCCUCUCCUGUACCUCAUCCUCUUCGCUUUCGGCAUUGAAGCACGAGCGCCCAAAGAUCCAAAUCAUGAUGUCUGGCGGCGGCUCGCUGCCAUUGCGUCUCUGCAGCGAUGUGGGGUCGUAGCUCUGUGGAUCGACGAUACAGCUGCAUAGGAGAGGACCAUCGUCCUUUACAGCUCAAGGGUCCAAGUUUAUCCAUGGUGAUGCACUGCAAACUUGGAAAAGGCCUACUUGUAGCCGGAUGGCAGUCCUGCAGCAGUGAAGCGAUGUAAAAUUUGACAUGGCCCAUGCCUGAAGUUCGAGAAACCUCAAAUGGACAAUGCAAUAGACUGUAACGUUUAAGAUGUAUGAAUCUCUACUGCUUUUCAAGUAGCAGUGUGGUUCUGCAGUAGAUUGUAUAGGAUGGCAUGUGUCAUCUUCAUUUAUACAUUUGUUUGGCCAAGCUUCUUAUUCAAACCGUGUAUAGAACCUGAGAAAAUUGACAAGUUGUGCUCUUGUAUCAGUUGCAUGAUUGCUCAUUACUAACUUUUGUGAAAAAUGCAAAAUUUUCAUGUAAUUUAUUCUUUGAACAUUUGAAAAGCUCAACAGUUAUAACUAUGUAAUAUUAAGUAUAUGA